GUGAAAGGCCAAUCAAACUUCGUGAUAGCUGGUUCUCUCCGAAAUAUAUUUAGGUAUAGCGUUGUGUCGUAAUAUAAGGGGGUAGAGCACUGAAUGGGCUAGGGCAUACACCAAUGUACCAAACCCUAUCAAACUCCGAAUACCUUAUAUGUAAUCACAGCAGUCAGGCGGCGAGUGAUAAAAUCCGUCGUCAAGAGGGAAACAACCCAGACUACCAGCUAAGGUCCCUAAAUCUUACUUAAGUGGAAAACGAUGUGAAGUUACUUAAACAACCAGGAGGUUGGCUUAGAAGCAGCCAUCCUUUAAAGAAAGCGUAAUAGCUCACUGGUCUAGUGAUUUUGCGCGGAAAAUAUAACGGGGCUAAAGUAAGUACCGAAGCUGUAGACUUGCACACAACUUAGAUUAUUUAAGUUUAGAAUAUGAGAAACUAAGUUAUAUGUUUAGUUAUAUUUUUACUGAUUUUUAUAGAGUAAAGAUAGAAAUAAAACUUAGUAAAAUCAGUAAAAAUAUUCUUAGACUAAAGUUAAGUAGUUUAAGUUGUGUGCAAGUGGUAGGAGAGCGUUCUAUUUGCGUCGAAGGUAUACCGGUAAGGAGUGCUGGAGCGAAUAGAAGUGAGCAUGCAGGCAUGAGUAGCGAUAAUUAAUGUGAGAAUCAUUAACGCCGUAAACCCAAGGUUUCCUACGCGAUGCUCGUCAUCGUAGGGUUAGUCGGGUCCUAAGUCGAGUCCGAAAGGGGUAGACGAUGGCAAAUUGGUUAAUAUUCCAAUACCAACAUUAGUGUGCGAUGGAAGGACGCUUAGGGCUAAGGGGGCUAGCGGAUGGAAGUGCUAGUCUAAGGUCGUAGGAGGUUAUACAGGCAAAUCCGUAUAACAAUACUCCGAGAACUGAAAGGCUUUUUGAAGUCUUCGGAUGGAUAGAAGAACCCCUGAUGCCAUCGAGCCAAGAAAAGUUUCUAAGUUUAGCUAAUGUUGCCCGUACCGUAAACCGACACAGGUGGGUGGGAUGAGUAUUCUAAGGCGCGUGGAAGAACUCUCUUUAAGGAACUCUGCAAAAUAGCACCGUAUCUUCGGUAUAAGGUGUGGUUCGCUUCGUAUUAGGAUUUACUCCGAAAGCGAAGAAACUUACAACAAAGAGUCCCUCCCGACUGUUUACCAAAAACACAGCACUCUGCUAACUCGUAAGAGGAUGUAUAGGGUGUGACGCCUGCCCGGUGCUCGAAGGUUAAUUGAUGGGGUUAGCAUUAGCGAAGCUCUUGAUCGAAGCCCGAGUAAACGGCGGCCGUAACUAUAACGGUCCUAAGGUAGCGAAAUUCCUUGUCGGUUAAAUACCGACCUGCAUGAAUGGCGUAACGAGAUGGGAGCUGUCUCAAAGAGGGAUCCAGUGAAAUUGUAGUGGAGGUGAAAAUUCCUCCUACCCGCGGCAAGACGGAAAGACCCCGUGGACCUUUACUACAGCUUGACACUGCUAUUUGGAUAAGAAUGUGCAGGAUAGGUGGGAGGCUUUGAGUAUAUGACGCCAGUUGUAUAUGAGCCAUUGUUGAGAUACCACUCUUUCUUAUUUGGGUAGCUAACCAGCUUGAGUUAUCCUCAAGUGGGACAAUGUCUGGUGGGUAGUUUGACUGGGGCGGUCGCCUCCCAAAUAAUAACGGAGGCUUACAAAGGUUGGCUCAGAACGGUUGGAAAUCGUUCGUAGAGUAUAAAGGUAUAAGCCAGCUUAACUGCAAGACAUACAAGUCAAGCAGAGACGAAAGUCGGUCUUAGUGAUCCGGUGGUUCUGUGUGGAAGGGCCAUCGCUCAAAGGAUAAAAGGUACCCCGGGGAUAACAGGCUGAUCUCCCCCAAGAGCUCACAUUGACGGGGAGGUUUGGCACCUCGAUGUCGGCUCAUCGCAUCCUGGGGCUGGAGCAGGUCCCAAGGGUAUGGCUGUUCGCCAUUUAAAGCGGUACGCGAGCUGGGUUCAGAACGUCGUGAGACAGUUCGGUCCCUAUCUGCCGUGGGCGUAAGAAGAUUGAAGAGAUUUGACCCUAGUACGAGAGGACCGGGUUGAACAAACCACUGGUGUAGCUGUUGUUCUGCCAAGAGCAUCGCAGCGUAGCUAAGUUUGGAAAGGAUAAACGCUGAAAGCAUCUAAGCGUGAAGCCAACUCUAAGAUGAAUCUUCUCUAAGCUCUCUAGAAGACUACUAGUUUGAUAGGCUGGGUGUGUAAUGGAUGAAAGUCCUUUAGCUGACCAGUACUAAUAGAGCGUUUGGCUUAUCUUU
rnacentral:rRNA from 1 species